rnacentral:rRNA from 1 species
ACGCACGCUGGCGGCGUGCUUCACCCAUGCAAGUCGAACGGAAAGGCCCUGCUUUUGUGGGGUGCUCGAGUGACGAACGGGUGAGUAACACGUGAGUAACCUGCCCUUGACUUUGGGAUAACUUCAGGAAACUGGGGCUAAUACCGGAUAGGAGCUCCUGCUGCAUGGUGGGGGUUGGAAAGUUUCGGCGGUUGGGGAUGGACUCGCGGCUUAUCAGCUUGUUGGUGGGGUAGUGGCUUACCAAGGCUUUGACGGGUAGCCGGCCUGAGAGGGUGACCGGCCACAUUGGGACUGAGAUACGGCCCAGACUCCUACGGGAGGCAGCAGUGGGGAAUAUUGCACAAUGGGCGGAAGCCUGAUGCAGCAACGCCGCGUGCGGGAUGACGGCCUUCGGGUUGUAAACCGCUUUCGCCUGUGACGAAGCGUGAGUGACGGUAAUGGGUAAAGAAGCACCGGCUAACUACGUG